rnacentral:rRNA from 1 species
UGGGUUUGACAUAUGCCGGAAAGCCAUAGAGAUAUGGCCCCUUUUUGUCGGUAUACAGGUGGUGCAUGGCUGUCGUCAGCUCGUGUCGUGAGAUGUUGGGUUAAGUCCCGCAACGAGCGCAACCCUCGUCCUAUGUUGCCAGCACGCCCUUCGGGGUGGUGGGGACUCAUAGGAGACUGCCGGGGUCAACUCGGAGGAAGGUGGGGAUGACGUCAAGUCAUCAUGCCCCUUAUGUCCAGGGCUUCACGCAUGCUACAAUGGCCGGUACAAAGGGCUGCGAUGCUGUAAGGCGGAGCGAAUCCCAAAAAGCCGGUCUCAGUUCGGAUUGGGGUCUGCAACUCGACCCCAUGAAGUCGGAGUCGCUAGUAAUCGCAGAUCAGCAUUGCUGCGGUGAAUACGUUCCCGGGCC